GCUGGCCGAGGCAAUUUUAGAGGACAAACUUGUCGAAUUUUGGCCUGAAUAUAAAUGUUUAUACGAUGUGAGUUCUGCAGAUUUUAGAAAUAGGGACAAAAGGGAAUGUGCGGUGAAAGAAAUAGUCAGUAAGUUUGUCCUCUAAAAUUGCCUCGGCCAGUAAUUCAUUUUGCGCCGCCAUCUUGGAUGUUUACUUUCGUAUACUACGCAUGCGCUGUUACGACAAUCCGUAAGCAGAUAGCUUUCGUUCGCCGCACACGGAAAGAUUUUGGCGCGCGAGGCAGAAAUUAUCAAACAUGUUAGAUAUUUGGCGUAAGUGGCACGAAUGACAAAAGUCGUUCGUAAAUCGCCCGCACACGAGAGCUAUCUCCUUACGCCAACAGUCACGAAUGACAUUUUGCUAAGCACAUAGCUCUAGUGUG